UACAGAGGUGGCAAGCGUUGUUCGGAAUUACUGGGCGUAAAGGGCGCGUAGGCGGCCAUCUAAGUCAGACGUGAAAUCCCCCGGCUUAACCUGGGAACUGCGUCUGAUACUGGAAGGCUUGAGUAUGGGAGAGGGAUGUAGAAUUCCAGGUGUAGCGGUGAAAUGCGUAGAUAUCUGGAGGAAUACCGGUGGCGAAGGCGGCAUCCUGGGCCAGCACUGACGCUCAUGCACGAAAGCGUGGGGAGCAAACAGG
rnacentral:rRNA from 1 species